GCGCUCGUAGCUCAACUGGAUAGAGCAUCAGACUUCGAAUCUGAGGGUUGCAGGUUCAAACCCCUGCCGAGCGCA
rnacentral:tRNA from 1 species